UGCAACUGUUACUGAUCAGAAGAUGUUCUUGAUUGUAGAGGAGAGGAAGGAAGAUAGAUAGAUAGACAGAUAGAUAGAUGGCAGGGGUCUGUGAAGAGAGGGGUUGUAAGAAAGGAAAGAGAGAGAGAGAGGAAGGGAGGGAGGGAAGAAAGACAGAGGGGAAGAGCAAGUGGAGGAGACAGAAAGAGAGAAAAAGAAGGGGAAGAGAGAAAGAAGGAAGGGUGAGGGAUGGGCCCAAAUUGUCAGUGGCCUGAGGGGAACAAGUGGCCAUCGCCACCUAUUGGCAGCAAGGAAGGGUCGAGUCAACCACUGCUGCUGUUUGGGGCUACCGAGGUCAUGGGAGGAGGGAGGUAGGCAGGCAAGGGAUGGGCCCAGGCCCGUCAGCAGCCUGAGGGGAACGAGCAGCCAUGGCGGUGGCAGCAGUGAGGAAGGGCCCAGUCGACCGCUGCUGCUGCUCCUGUGGGGAGGAGCAGGAGUGGGGCUCAGGUGAGGGUGGGGAGGUUUCUGGGAAUAGGGGGCUGCAGCUUGGCCAAUAGGUGCCAGCAACACUGCAGCCACUACCGAGACGGGUGAGGGGGAUGGAAUAAAGGGAUGGAGGCGUGACCAAGAGGGGUGAGGGGGAUGGAAGCAAUAGGAUGGAGGAGGAAGACAGGAGUGUGGCUCAGGUGAGGGUCGAGACAGGGGGUCUCUGAGGUGACGGGGGGGGCUGUGGCAGGGGAUGAGGGGAGCAAUCAAGUACUAACCCUCAGAUGCUCUGCAUGGGUUAAGCUGGUUUAUUGUAAUUUGUGACAGAUAUUUAUUAUGCAGCCAGGUAGUAUGCUACAGCUCACUUCAUCAGUCCUGUCAAGAGCCCACAGUAUAGCAGACAAUAAGUCAUACCACCAAAGGUGGAACGGGGGGGGGCAGGCAGGGCACGUGCCCUAGGCGCCACUGAGGUGGGGGCACCAUGCCAGUUCCUGCCACCCCCACCCCAUUGCCCACCUGCCCAGCCCCAGGGCCCCUCAGCCACUUGCCUCCAGCUCCGGCCUAGGAUCGGCGAGGCCUAGUAUCGGAGCAGCCUGCAAACUGCAGAGCUCUUCUCUCCCCGCCUCUCAGCUGAUCGGCGGGUGGACGGGGCUUCCAGAGAGGCCUCCGAGUAGGUCUCCCUGAAGCCUGUACUUGGCAGGCCUCAGCAAGCCAGGAAGGAGGCUGGCAGAGCUCCCUGCAGCAGACCCUCCCUGCAGCAGACCAGACCAUCCAGCACAGAUUUGCCAGGGCCUUUUCGGUUGUGGUCCCUCAGCUUUGGAAUGCCCUCCCAGUAAAGCUCCACCACGCUCCCUCCCUCAGAGUCUUUAAGAAACCACUGAAGACUCCUCUCUUUAGAGAGGCAUUUUAAUAUUUUAUCUGCAUUAUAUAUCUGAUGGGUUUUAACAUUUUGACCUGCUGUUUUAAGUUUAGUUUUAACUGAGUCUAGUUUUUAUUAGUUUUAUAUUGUAUCUGGUUUUACUGGUUUUGUGAGCUGCCCUGGACAGCAGUGUACUGCAGGAGCAGGAUAUAAAUAUAUUAUUUAGAUUCCCAGGAAUAUACACAGCCUUCUCUUUAGCACUUAUUCCCUGGCACCCACUCAUGAAGAUCACCUAUUCCAACCUACAUAUUGAAGCUGGGCUAAGGCAGCCAAACCCGAGCUCUCGGAGGCAAACCAUCCUAGAGAGCCCGCCUCUUAAACACGGUUAAGAGAGUAAGUGAUCCCUUAACCCUAUUUACCCCAUAACCGUGAGUCCAGUUAUCUAACCGUCCACCCAUCACUGGGAAAAUCCCCACAAUGCAUCAUGUACUCGCAUGGUGCAUUGUGGGAUCUCUGGAAGCCAGGACGCAUUUACCCAGCCUCCGGAGUACAGCACUGCUUGUCUGGGAGUGCAGUUCAUACUCUCAACAGAAGAACUCAAUUGUCUGGGGGGAGGGAAAGUGAGUUUAUCAAGCCUUCCCGUCCACCCACCCAUUACCCUGCCUGAAGUAUCCUAAAAAAACCUGCUGUAAAAAGUGGAACUUUUUAAUGCGGAGAUAAGCUCCAAUGUGCAGGGGAAAAUGUGUAUGGAGUGCUCCCCAAUAUCUUGCACAAACUGCAACAUAAAUCCACCCAGUGUCUGAACACACACACCUGCCCUUCCCAUGGUGAAGCAAAGUAAAAAUGCCAUCUGGGAACAGCCCGGGUGCAGAGAAAAUAGUGGGAUGAGCUAGUGCAAGAACUGCUAUAUAUCUUAGUACCUAUGACUCGCCACACAGUUCAUUGUACAAGCCCAGAGAAGUUUACUUGAAAAUAUCCUCCAUUUUGAAAGCCCUAAGUUUAUAGGACUAGUAAACGUGCAUGUAAAUUGAAUGUAUUAAAAUGGAGAGGAAAUUAAGAGUAUAUUACUUUAUAUACCAAACUUUCAGAACAAUAAAUCAUAAUGGAAAGAGAAUGAAAUCAUAAUGGAGAUGGAGACAGUUUCUGGAGCUCAGACUUCUCCCUCUGUUUAUUGUCACUAUGACAGCAAUCCAUCAAAACCAUCAGUGCCUCUGAGAGAAAAUUCGACCAGACCAGGGGUGUACAACUCAAAUGUCCCAGUUGGUCAAAAACAACCAUGACAGUGUAAUAAAACAACCAUGACAGUGUAAUAAAAGUCAAUUUUCAGUGCACUGAUUACUGCAGUAAAAUUAAUUAUAACGAUAAAUAUUAAACCAAUUACUAGUUAGUUGUGGGUCUUUCUCCCCCCCCACCCCC